rnacentral:rRNA from 1 species
ACUCUAACAAGACUGCCUGCGCAAGCAGAGAGGAAGGAGGGGAUGACGUCAAGUCAUCAUGGCCCUUACGCCCAGGGCUACACACGUGCUACAAUGGCGCAUACAGAGGGUCGCUACCUGGCAACAGGAUGCCAAUCUCAAAAAGUGCGUCUCAGUUCGGAUUGGAGUCUGCAACUCGACUCCAUGAAGUUGGAAUCGCUAGUAAUCGCGCAUCAGCAAUGGCGCGGUGAAUACGUUCCCGGACCUUGUACACACCGCCCGUCAAGCCAUGGGAGUUGGGUGGACCUGAAGAUGGUUGCUGUAAGGCGCUAUUUAGGGUAAAACCAGCGACUGGGGCUAAGUCGUAACAAGGUAGCCGUACCGGAAGGUGUG